AUUUGCAGCAACACUGAUGGACCUAGAGAUAAUCCCACUAAGUGAAAACCAACUUGCAUCAUGGUGAUCAGACAUUGUCUGUAGUUGAAACUGCGACUCCAAAAUCCACGUUUUCAAGAAGACCCACUGUCUCCAAGUGCUGAUCCUGCUACCUCGGGUCUCAGGUGCCAGCGAUGGCUGAGGAAUGACAGCUCUCCAAAGUGAAGAUGAGGAGGUGGAAGCUUGCCUGCCCUUGUUCAGUCACACAGUUGUGACUGACUCUUUUCGACCCCACGGACUACAGCAUGGCAGGCUUCCCUGUUCUUCACCAUCUCCCAGUGGACCAAGUUGCUGAGAUCAGACAGCUACUUAGUGGAUGAGUCAGAACCAGAGCACAGCUCUCUGCCCACCAAUGAGCCGUCUCUCCACAACAGCUAAAUAAUUUACGCUUAUGAUCAUUUUGGGCAGAUUGAUGGUUGC